GUGGGGAAUAUUGGACAAUGGGCGAAAGCCUGAUCCAGCCAUGCCGCGUGUGUGAAGAAGGUCUUCGGAUUGUAAAGCACUUUAAGUUGGGAGGAAGGGCAGUAAGUUAAUACCUUGCUGUUUUGACGUUACCGACAGAAUAAGCCCCGGCUAACUUCGUGCCAGCAGCCGCGGUAAUACGAAGGGUGCAAGCGUUAAUCGGAAUUACUGGGCGUAAAGCGCGCGUAGGUGGUUUUGUAAGUUGGAGGUGAAAUCCCCGGGCUCAACCUGGGGACUGCCUCCAAAACUGCAUGACUAGAGUACGGUAGAGGGUAGUGGAAUUUCCUGUGUAGCGGUGAAAUGCGUAGAUAUAGGAAGGAACACCAGUGGCGAAGGCGACUACCUGGACUGAUACUGACACUGAGGUGCGAAAGCGUGGGGAGCAAACAGGAUUAGAAACCCUGGUAGUCC
rnacentral:rRNA from 1 species